rnacentral:rRNA from 1 species
UACAGAGGUCUCAAGCGUUGUUCGGAUUCAUUGGGCGUAAAGGGUGCGUAGGUGGCGCCGUAAGUCAGGUGUGAAAUUUCGGAGCUUAACUCCGAAACUGCAUUUGAUACUGCGGUGCUUGAGGACUGGAGAGGAGACUGGAAUUUACGGUGUAGCAGUGAAAUGCGUAGAGAUCGUAAGGAAGACCAGUGGCGAAGGCGGGUCUCUGGACAGUUCCUGACAGCUGAGGCACGGAAG